ACGAACGCUGGCGGCGUGCUUAACACAUGCAAGUCGAACGGAAAGGCCCUGCUUGCCGGGUGCUCGAGUGGCGAACGGGUGAGUAACACGUGGGUGAUCUGCCCCUUAUUUUGGGAUAAGCCUGGGAAACUGGGUCUAAUACUGGAUAGGACCAUGCUGUAGGUGGUGUGGUGGAAAGAUUAGUUUCGGUAAGGGAUGAGCUCGCGGCCUAUCAGCUUGUUGGUGGGGUAAUGGCCUACCAAGGCGUCGACGGGUAGCCGGCCUGAGAGGGUGGACGGCCACAUUGGGACUGAGAUACGGCCCAGACUCCUACGGGAGGCAGCAGUGGGGAAUAUUGCACAAUGGGCGCAAGCCUGAUGCAGCGACGCCGCGUGGGGGAUGACGGCCUUCGGGUUGUAAACUCCUUUCAGCCAUGACGAAGCCCUUGUGGUGACGGUAGUGGUAGAAGAAGCACCGGCUAACUACGUG
rnacentral:rRNA from 1 species